rnacentral:rRNA from 1 species
CUCUUUUUGUAAAAUUUAUAAGGUAUAACCUGCCCACUGAAAAUUUUAAUGGCCGCGGUAUUUUGACCGUGCAAAGGUAGCAUAAUCAUUAGUCUUUUAAUUGAAGGCUGGAAUGAAUGGUUGGACGAAAUAAUAACUGUCUUAAGUUAAUUAUUUUGAAUUUAAUUUUUAGGUUAAAAAGCUUAAAUUUAUUUAUGGGACGAGAAGACCCUAUAGAAUUUAAAUAUAUAAUUGUAUUUAUAGGAGUUUGUUAAUAAGAUGAUACUAUUAUAUAUUUUGUUGGGGUGAUGAGAAGAAAAAAUUAACUCUUUUUUAAAUGUUAAUAUAAAUUAAUAAAUUUUUGAUCCAUUAUUAUUGAUUAAAAGUCUAAAUUACCUUAGGGAUAACAGCGUAAUCUUUUUUGAGAGUUCUAAUCGACAAAUAAGGAUUGCGA